AGGGUAACGAGAGUAAAUACUCCACCUUGUAAUCUCAACUGAAAACAACUGAUCGUGGUGUUUCAAAAUAUUUUCAAUCCAAUUUUCACCACUUAAAUCGCUUAAAUCAUUUUUGUGAAUUGUGAUAAAGGGCAGACGUUUAUCUUUUGGAAUGAAAAUCGCGUACGAGGAUUUUUUGGAAACAUAUUCUACAUUUUUUAAUGACCAACCUGGUGCUCUUAAAAUCCCUACAAUUUUAGAAAUUUCCGCUCUCUUCUCAAUGGCGACAACACGAGCUCUCGUUCUGCUAUCACCUUUGAAGCUUGCAACACUUUUAAUUUCUAAUCUUUCCAAAUGCUCCAUUGCUCCACCUAACUCAUCGUCAUGAUCUUUUAUUUUGACUUUCUCGACACCAUUCUGUAAAAAAUUCGAUUUUUCAGUGGGGC